rnacentral:pre_miRNA from 12 species
UGGCUUUUAUGUAUUUACGUUGCAUAUGAAAUGAUAUUUAUAGUAAACAGAUUAUUUUAUAUGCAGGUAUAUGCAAGUCGAGGUCCUGCACACUG